rnacentral:rRNA from 1 species
UACAGAGGUGGCAAGCGUUGUUCGGAAUUACUGGGCGUAAAGGGCGCGUAGGCGGCCUUCUAAGUCAGACGUGAAAUCCCCAGGCUUAACUUGGGAACUGCGUCUGAUACUGGGAGGCUUGAGUGCGGGAGAGGGAUGUGGAAUUCCAGGUGUAGCGGUGAAAUGCGUAGAUAUCUGGAGGAACACCGGUGGCGAAGGCGGCAUCCUGGACCGACACUGACGCUGAGGCGCGAAAGCGUGGGGAGCGAACAGGA